GUAAAAAAUGAUGAGGGCAAAGGAAUACCUGUGUCAUUUUUUAUUUUGAGUCAAGAGACAUCCUCAACCUUAGAGAUGUGUCUUACAAAGCUUAAAGAGGCAGCAGAUCUCACACCAAGGUAAGCAAUUAAAAAAACUCCUGUAAAAGACUUCCCUUUCUUGUUGAAAACAUACGUCAAUUGUUAUUUACACUCUGCAAAGCCACAUCACUAUCGUCUUACAUUUUAUUAUGAUUUCAUUGAGCUUACUGUCCUGUUUCCAUUCCCAGGUGUGUUAUGGUUGACCGGGAUCAGAAAGAAAUCAAGGCAAUCAAGACUGUCUUUCCACAUGCAUCUGUGUUGCUUUGCUGGUUUCAUGUACUUCAGGUAUGUCUAAUAAACCAAAUAAGUUCACAGGGCCAAUACUGUUAUCAAACCAUGAAAAAGAAUAUUCUUUUACACAGGGUUUAAAUGCACUUUAUAAAAGGCUGAUAUGACUUUUAAAAAGAUCUGACCAUUCAUCAGUACUUCCUUAAAUGUUAAUGUUGUUGUCAUGUAAGCAAUCCACCGUUGGGUUGUUAAACAAGAUGGAGGCCAUGUCCAAGAUCCAGCUGUGAGAAACAUCAUCGUUCAAGGAAUAUUUUCUCUCAAGCAAUGUCGCACAGUUGAGUGCUCUUUUCUGUCUUUUCACACCUUUUCGAAAAACGUUUGACACAGCUGUCAUUGCAAAUUUCCAAAUUCCAUUUGGAUUACUAUCUUGAACAAAUGGAAAGCUUCUAUUCACAACCCAAAGAUAUUUUCAACAUACAGUUAUAUAUGAAUGUUCAAAGUCUGUCUGGAAAUCUCCCCCUCCAUAAUUCUUCAAUCCACAACAACUCAUUAUGCAUAUAAAAUGCCCUUUGCUAUUUACAGGCGUGGGUCAAAGAGGCAAACGACAUAUAGAGUAAAUGUGAAAAUAUCCAUGAUUUGAUGAAAAAGGGUUGUUAAAAAAAUUGGGAUGUUACUGGGCUGUGUCAUUAGUCUGAAAUCCCAUUGGUCCGACAUGCCAUUAGUCCGACCAUACACGAGACUAGUAACUACACUACACCAUUUCCAGACCCUAGCCACUCUAAUCACAGGUCUAGUGUAUGGUUGGACUAAUGGAAUGUCAGAUUAAUGAGGAGCUCUCAACUAUAUUCUUUCCAAUUGCAGAAUUGCAAUUGCAUUUCACUUCACUUUUUUGUAGGAGAGAGUAUUCCAUGAAACUGCUAAGAGUCCUUGAACAAAUCAAGACAGCAACAGGGGCGACCAGAGUGUCAAAAUACCUCAGAGAGACCUGGCUGCAGUGUGGGGCUAUGUGGGCCAACUUUGGCCGAAUGUUUUUCCACCACCAAAGUGAGACCAACAAUGUUGUGGAGAGGUUUUUCAACGGAUUGAAAUACAAUUUCCUUGGAGGAUAUUGCAACAAAAGAUUGGAUGACCUACUACUAAUCCUCCAUAACCAUGUGGUGAAGUACUUCAGGUAAGUCUGUGUAUUUUCAUAUUUAGGAAGUUAAACGCAAUAUGAUUCAUGGUUAAUCCUAAAUGUUAAUCUUUAAAUUUAAUUUAAAUUAUGCUGACAAUGAUUACCCUUGCCCUUGUUUUGUUCAGCCAACUUGAUGAGCUCGUUAAUGCUGGUCGAGUCCCCACAAAAGGAUCCCAAGAAAGUGUCAUAUCAGCUGAAAGGAUGAGGUCUCAUGGGCUCGACCAAAACAUCCAGUAUUUGUCUGAGGCCCGCUUCAGUGUACCCUCAGAAAGCAAGCCUGAUGUGUUUUAUGAAGUUGACUUACUGUACAGUGUUUGCCAGUGUCCAGUCAAUGGACAAGGUCAGAAAUGUAAACACAUAGUGUUAGCUCAGAUGGUGUCUGAUGGUCUGAUUGACACAGCUGCACUCAGAGAAGACACAGCAAAUAUGCUAUGUGCAACCAACAGUUUUGUGAGUGAUGAGACAACAGUGAUGGUGCAAAAUGGAGAAAAUGUGGGUAUUGUGAAUCUUGCAAAACAGCAGUGUUCUUGCUUGGCAAGCAGUUAUGGGGAAGUAUGUGUGUGUCUGUUGGUGGCCAACAAAACUAGUGAAUCAACACUGUCAACCACUGCCUCACAGCCAACCACAACUGUGGACCAGGAAAAUAUAGAAACAGAGUGAGCCACCAGUUCACCAGGCAAAAUACUGCAUAAAGGACAUGAUUUAUGAUUUGAGGAAUUGGUGUGAGUCAGAGGAGUAUCAGCCAUCACUUGACCUUUAUACAGCAGUGAAACAUACACACCAGCUCGCCUUUGGCCGCUUCAAAACGGUCUUUAACAAAAGAAAGACUGAGCGACUGCACAAAUACAGGAAACACAUUGAACAUAGCAAAAGACGAAUUGCAAACUAUUCAAAGACAGACCACAACAAGCGGCAGAUACAAACUGUCCAUCACGACGGGGCAUUUAAGCGCAGGCGAAGACAGCGAACCCGUAACUAGUCUUUCCCCAGUUUUCCGACCUGUCCCACACUGCCCCAAUAAAAUAUUUAGAUAAUAUUUAUAGUGUAUUAAAUUCUGCCAUCCUUAGUGCUUAGUAAACUAAGCUGUUUGCGUGUGAAAUUUUGUUUUUACCAUUUUACUGUGUGUAUGAGGGUUGUACUUGGCCUUUAUUUUCAAUAAAGAAUAUGUCACACCCCAUCA